AUAUAUAAUUAUUUUUACAUCAACAUUAUUAUCUGGUUAUUAAGCAUCUAUCUGUCUUACCAAUAUAAUCACUAUUACAACUUUGACAUUUAAAAUGAUGCACAGCAGAGCUCCUAUAUUCCUUAGGGGUUUGAUCUUUAGUAGAUAUAAAAUGAGAGACAUUUUUGUACUGCCAUAAAGUUAUGGUGUUUCUUUUCUUUGUUUAAGCAUGUACAUAAAAUGAAUUCACCUGCCUUUCCUAGAUCUAACCUAGAUCAUAGUCAAGCAAUCAUCAGUAGGCCUAUGUAUACAUUUAGGUUCAUUUAAUUUAUUAAAGAGUACAUGGUUAACAACUUUUAAAGGGUACUCAUUCCAUUUUCUAAUGUUACAAAUUUCUGCUUGAGGUUUUAGGGAGUAUACAAUUUGUGUGCUCUUAAAACUAAACUACGAAUCCAAGAAAUCUUAAGGUUCCAUGGGGCAAAGCUAUCAUAAUGGAUAUAUUGACCUGUAUGUGUGUAUUUUUACGAUAUAUACUCAUGCUUCCUACGCUGUUGUCGAAUUGUAAAUCCAGAAAAUAGACUAUAUCACUGUUUUCAAAUAAUUCAAAGGUAAAAUUAAUCUGUUUAUGAAAAGAGUUAAAGUGGCGUAGAAUGUGAUGAAAAUUAUUAGGUUUAGCUAGCACAUGUCGUCAACCAAACGAGUAUAAAACUAAAUAAUACCUGAUUCUAUAAAUCUAGAAACAAUAGACUCUUUUAGAUCAGUCACUAAUAUAUUGGCUAAAACUGGUCCAAUGGGCGAGCCCAUUGAAACGCUGUCAGUUUGUUUAUAGAAUUCAUUAUUACACGUAAAUACAGUUUUAGUAAAGCAACGUAUUUUUCUUAACAUUAGUAGAUACCAAUUUCUUAUAGUAAACCCUAUCAAGAAUUAUAUUAAUUACCUUAGUAAGGGGAACAUUUUGUAAACAGAGAUGUAGGCUUGUAAGGAGUUAAGCUGUUUUUAAUGAACAGUAGACAAUUUCUUAAAUUUAGUUGGAUCAGAGAACAAGCUGAUCAUAAAUGUAAUAUAAUCAGAUUUCUUCAUUAUCGCAACACCAUUUCCUUUAUCAAGUCUAAGAAUUACAUAUUUAAUGCGUAGGAUUUUUAAAGUAUUAAUACGUUUGACAUCACAAUUUAAUUUGCGGUUAUCAAAAUCAAGAAAGUUACAUGUCAUGGCACGUAUUGAUUCUUAAUCUUUUCACGUUUAAUAAAUGAUUUAGGUGAGCAUCAGCAUAAUGAAGUAUAUUUUUAUAUGUUUGAUAUAAAACAUAUAUUUACGUUUUAUAUAAACACUCAAGCCAAAAGACCACCUGAAACUUAUGCUCAGAACCCCUUUGCCUUCGGUACCGUAUAUGCUAGCUAUGGGCCUGCAAUUCGUUAUAUGCAUGUAAUGAACAUAUAUAUUCCUGUUAACAAUAUAUGUGUUUCGUAGUUAUAUUAUGGGGGUAUAAAAUUAGUUAUACAGAAUCUAUAUGGCCAAAAUAAUAUUUUGGCAAUGUACUUGGAAAUGA